AUGCCACAUGGCACUGCCUUGUGGCACAAUCGAGGAGACCGCGGUGACGAGACUAGAGAGAUCAAAUUAAUGAAUUGGCCUCUCGCACUAACUAAUAUUUCUAUUCAUUCAUUCGUCCUCUCCUGCACAGACAAUGCUCCCCAAACCUUCCAAACCAUUUCCUUUAUUCCAACUGCCAAUAAUUGUUACAAAAGAAGUUAUAUUGUGUAUGUCACCAUUGGAUAUAAUCAAUAUCUCCUAUGUUAGCUCGAGAACUAAAAAAGUUGUAAAAUCGUUCCGUAAGCUGUGGGGUGAACUUAAAAUUUGCGUGAAUUUAAGUGAAAAGCCACAUAUUUUGAUUCAAAACUUUCAAAACUCAAAGUUCGAACUUUGGAAUAUAGUCUUUAAAUCAAAUAGGGAGAAUAUGCAGAAUAGUCCAUUUUGCGAAGAAACAUUGAAUAUAAUUACGCAGAAUUGAUUAGGUGAUUGCAUUAAUUUGGUUGAAUAUAUCACCCAGUUAUUUGGCACCUCAAUAUUUUCAUUAGGAGUCGAUAUAACUGCAUUCAAAGAUCAGAAUCAAUUAAUAAUCGACUGGUUUUUAACCCAACAAAACUCUGUUCACGAGCUCUCUAUCGAAGGAAAAAAUGUUAUGGCUUGUGAUUUUUCAAACAUCUGGGUCGAAAUUCUAAAAAUGGCAUAUAGUUUGAGUUUUAACCUGGUUGUAGCUAAUGAUUUUCAAUGUGAUAUUGAUUUUGAUCAGCCCAUGUUAGUCAUAGAUAACUCAAUUUGGUUUAAAAUUAGCCAUCUAUUAAAGUGUGACGGCCGGACAAUUGUUCUCUACAAAUCCACUUUGACGCCAGCUGACUUGAAUCGAUUCCUCCGAAGUUGGCUAUUGUCGGAGUCUAACCUCAAGCUAACCAAAUUUGAAGUCAAUAUCGCCAGCAGAAACACACUCGAGCAAAUUCUUGAUCUACCGGAAUAUUCGAUCGAUAAAAGUGGAGAGAAAAUGAGAGAAAAUACUGAUAGAAAUGGUCAUUAUCAAAAUGAGCUGAGAAUCAAACGAAACGACGGAAAAAUUGCUGUGCUGAGCACUUGUUUUUUUCUUUGGCUCCCGAGGAUUGACUUCAUUAUGCGUGUUUUAUAA